GGGCGAAAGCCAGGGGAGCGAAAGGGAUUAGAUACCCCUGUAGUCCUGGCCGUAAACGAUGAACACUAGGUGUCGGGGGAAUCGACCCCCUCGGUGUCGUAGCCAACGCGUUAAGUGUUCCGCCUGGGGAGUACGCACGCAAGUGUGAAACUCAAAGGAAUUGACGGGGGCCCGCACAAGCGGUGGAGUAUGUGGUUUAAUUCGAUGCAACGCGAAGAACCUUACCAGGGUUUGACAUCCUGCGAAUCUCUUGGAAACAGGAGAGUGCCUUCGGGAACGCAGUGACAGGUGGUGCAUGGCUGUCGUCAGCUCGUGUCGUGAGAUGUUGGGUUAAGUCCCGCAACGAGCGCAACCCACGUCUUUAGUUGCCAGCAUUUAGUUGGGCACUCUAGAGAGACUGCCGGUGAUAAACCGGAGGAAGGUGUGGAUGACGUCAAGUCACCAUGCCCCUUACAUCCUGGGCUACACACGUACUACAAUGCUACGGACAAAGGGCAGCAAGUUCGCGAGGACAAGCAAAUCCCAUAAACCGUGGCUCAGUUCAGAUCGUAGGCUGCAACUCGCCUACGUGAAGGCGGAAUCGCUAGUAAUCGCAGGUCAGCAUACUGCGGUGAAUACGUUCCCGGGCCUUGUACACACCGCCCGUCACACCAUGGAAGUUGGCCACGCCCGAAGCCGUUACUCCAACCCUUGUGGAGGAGGACGUCGAAGGUGGGGCUGAUGACUGGGGUGAAGUCGUAACAAGGUAACC
rnacentral:rRNA from 1 species